CUCACCCCUGCUGGGAGAAACCUGUUAAGAGAGAAGAGAAGCUCAAAUAAAUGACUUGCCUUCUCCUGGGAACUGAAAGUGCAUUGACAUUUUCAAGGUUUUCCUUACUGGAGAUCAGAUAUUGGACUGAAUCCAUUCUAACAGGUAAAUCACACAGCCAUGGAGGCACCCACAUCUUUGGCUCAGAUGAAGCUGCCAGAGUGACCCACUGGGUCCAGCGCAGAUGCCCUCAAUUCAAG
rnacentral:lncRNA from 1 species